CCUACGGGGGGCAGCAGUCGAGAAUCAUUCACAAUGGGGGAAACCCUGAUGGUGCGACGCCGCGUGGGGGAAUGAAGGUCUUCGGAUUGUAAACCCCUGUCAUGUGGGAGCAAAUUAAAAAGAUAGUACCACAAGAGGAAGAGACGGCUAACUCUGUGCCAGCAGCCGCGGUAAUACAGAGGUCUCAAGCGUUGUUCGGAAUCACUGGGCGUAAGGCGUGCGUAGGCUGUUUCGUAAGUCGGGUGUGAAAGGCGCGGGCUCAACCCGCGGACGGCACAUGAUACUGCGAGACUAGAGUAAUGGAGGGGGAACCGGAAUUCUCGGUGUAGCAGUGAAAUGCGUAGAUAUCGAGAGGAACACUCGUGGCGAAGGCGGGUUCCUGGACAUUAACUGACGCUGAGGCACGAAGGCCAGGGGAGCGAAAGGGAUUAGAUACCCUAGUAGUC
rnacentral:rRNA from 1 species